UACGGGGGGGGCAAGCGUUGUUCGGAUUUACUGGGCGUAAAGGGCGCGUAGGCGGCCACCGCAAGUCGGUUGUGAAAUCUCUGGGCUUAACCCAGAAAGGUCAACCGAUACUGCGGGGCUAGAGUGCAGAAGGGGCAACUGGAAUUCUCGGUGUAGCGGUGAAAUGCGUAGAUAUCGAGAGGAACACCUGCGGCGAAGGCGGGUUGCUGGGCUGACACUGACGCUGAGGAGCGAAAGCGUGGGGAGCGAACAGG
rnacentral:rRNA from 1 species